rnacentral:lncRNA from 1 species
AAAAAAAAAAAAAAAAAGAAAGAAAGAAAAUUAUUGAGAACUCGUCCGUGCAAUAAGUACAACCUCGUCGUUGCAGAAAAGAAUAGCAUCAACAUCCAUAUCAGAUCCAGCACACAUCUUAUAAAAAAUUACAUGUAUAUGUGGUUAAAUGAAUACCUUGUACACCCAAGAAUCCUCAACAAAAUCCUCUGAAAUAUCAGCUGAACCGAGCUCUCUAAAGACAAGAUCCAAUUAACAGAUCGGAAAAUUGGAUCCCUUAGCUCAACACCAGAUUAUCGACAGUACUAUUAUAUAACAAUACCCCGAUUGAAAUUUGGCGAGGGAACCCCACAAAAAGCUAAAAACCCUCGAAAAAGAAACCGAUUUUAAGAGAAACAAAAUAAACCUAAUAUUAACUACUAAUAUUACCACGCCGAUCACUUUUCUGAAGAUGUUUCAGACGAUGAGAAAACGAUCCGCCAUAGAAAGAGGAUACGAAAGGGCGCGUGAACAACACCAGAUCCUUAGAAGGCACCGAAUGCAUUGUUCGAUGCUCUUCAAUUCACUUUUCCCAAAUUAUUUUUAGGUUUUCCCCCUCUAAAUCAAACGCAGCACACAGCACCGAUACUACACAGAUAAAUCUAUUUGAGGAUUUGAAAGAUUAUUAGACGGAUCAGGAUUUAUACAGGAUUUUCACGGCAAGAUCGGCAGCAUAAUCCUAACCAUUGAAAAGGGAGUAGACUGAGAAUAUAUCCUUCUUCUACGCGUGUGGAUUAGGACGUGGAUUUUUUAUACUACCAAGCCAAAGUAUUACUAUUUAUAGGGGAUAAAUUGAGU